CCUACUGCGGGCGCUCCCCUGUCUGGGGGGUGCUUGGCUGGGUGUGGAGAAGGAUCAAUCACAGCUGACUCCUCAGAGGUGACAGCCCCUGCCCCCUUAAAAACAAGAAAAGACCUAGCAGUGUGAAGCCAAACUGCACCCCCAGCCCCGGUGACAUGAGGAAACCGUGAGGCGCUCAGCCUGAGGUUCAUCGUUCAUCUCCUUCCUGCUUGGAAUCAGAAUGUCCUCACUGCUGAGUUUCUCCGUUUUAUGGGAUUACAUUAGUGGACAAAGGAGUGAAGCAAAGCAGCACUGAGCUCCUCCAAGUAAAGAAAGAAUUGUUUUCUGUACAACCUGGAGCUGAAUCAUAGAAGGAGAAGACAGCUUGAAAGAUAAGAGGCCGUAAGGCAGACCACAGAGGAUGGGGAGGAUUUCCCCAGCACCCCAGCCCCCAUAGUCAGCUCUGGUUCAGCGAUUUCAGCAACUCUUUCAUGACCCAUCUGAUUUUGUUUUAUCCCAGCCCUGCAGAGAAAGGACUCUGCAGGUCAGGACUUGCUUCUUCAACAGACAAAAACUCCUCUGCCAGAAAAGUUGGAGAAACUAGUUUAGAAAGUCGGAGGAUGUGAAGAAGUCUGCCUUUGUUCUGGGGACCUUGGUGGGAGAUGAGGGUGGGCUGGUGGAGACGAGGGUGAGAAUGAACCUUGCCGCAGACCCUUUGGGCUCCAUGCAGAGCUGGCUGCAGAAGAGGAAGGAAAGGAAAUUGGCCAGCUGCUGUCUCUGUGACUGGACCUGGGCCAAUCAAGAAACUGAGAGGAGCAGGGCCAGCCGGCUGUUGUGCCUCAAACUUAGGCAGAAACAAGCAAAGGCAAGGAUUUGGGGCUCUGAGUCACCCUCUCUGGAGGAACAAGAGCUUAGAGGAGGAAAUCACUUUUUAAGCUCCCUUUACUUUUACACACACGUUUUUAUUCCAGUAAAUUCAAACUAAAGAGGAAGAAGUCAUGAAAGGGCAGCUGCCACCUCAGGCCAUGGUGGCGGAGACAAAGGCUAUGGGCCGGUGUAGACGUCUAAGAAACCAACAGGAAGUCCCAGCCGGAAACACAGAAAGGAUAUGGAGAAAAUUAUUAUUCUGCCCCUACAGUUUCGGUGACCCAGAUGGGAUCUCUGGGACACCCUGCCUGCUCUACAAUUGGGAUCCCUGGAAAAGUGACAGAAUCUGGCAACAGAUGAGUAAGAAAGGUCACUUCCUGGCAGACCUCAGGUAUAUUGGGGACAUCAAGAAAAGAAUAAUUCAUCAAAGUCUACAGAUAUUGCAGGCAAAGUUGAAACAAGCCAGACAAGUUCUCUUUGUAUUCUUGAGAGACUUGGAAAGUCUAACCUGAGAUUCCUUAUUAAAAGUUCCAGCAAAA
rnacentral:lncRNA from 1 species